CUCUUCUUCAUUACAGAUAACAUGUAAGUAUUCCACCCUGCGCCUGCCUUUGAAAUCCUGCAUUGAGGUCUUUUUAUAUGGUUAUCUUGUGGUUUAUUUCAACUGAACGAAGAGAUUAUCAAAUAUUAAAACUUUCAACAGCAUCCCACGCAUUGCAGCCUUCUAUCACAUGAUGACUAUAAAGUCCAGAACUUUAUUUGGACCACUGUUUACGGGUCCUGUUUUAAUUUAAGUGCAAGUGAAUGCCUUGUAAUUAUUUAACUUCAUCUCAUGCAUUACAGCCUUCGAUCUCAUGAAGUUUUAUAUUUGGUUUUUCGUUUCUAUUGAAUUUCUUGUUUCUAAAAGUCCUUAGCCUAAUCUUUUUCCUCCCAAAAAAUAUGUUCAUUCUAUAAAACAAUACCUUAUUUUUAUUUUUAUGAUAUGAAACUGAGCUAAUUUUUUCAGGACUUUGUUAUUAAGACUUGCAUCAGUAAAUGAAUAGAGAUGGUGGUUAGUUUAUCUAACCUUGAUGUAUUCUCCUUUUCCUUCUCUUUUCUUUUCUGUAUGUUCAUUGAUGAUGUUAAAGUUGGUGUUUCCCUUCUAUUGAUGACCUAGCAAACUUUUUAUAAAAAACUGAAGUUAGCAUGAGAAGAAAAUUUAUUUAAAUAUUGAAUAAGUCUGCCAGUGAUUGUUGAGGAGGGAGCACAUUUGGCAGGAGCAGGUUUGCUGUUAGAUGUGUCAUGAAGAAAUCUUCUUUAUGAACCAUGAGAUCUAUUUUGAUUAAAAAUUGAAGAGCCAAGCCUUAAUUUUUCAUAUUCUUGUAGGAGCUUGUUUCUUGUUAGAUAUGUCAUG
rnacentral:misc_RNA from 1 species